UGGAAGCUAAAAAGGUUUUUGAUAGUGGGAAGAAAGAGUAAGGUAUUAAAGUUAAGGUGACAUGUCGGGACCAGCGUGUGGAGUAGACACAAAGCACUUUUAUUGAUGUAUUUUUUUAUGUAAAAAUCGGCCUUUUUGGUCAAUACCUUUUGUAAUAAAAAUAGAAGCUCCAAUGUUAUUUUAGUACCCUUAUUUAAAUA